GAAGUAUUUGCAGUGGGUCAGUGCAUCUGGCUGUUAACCAGAAGGAUGGUGGUUUGAGUCCACCCAGGGAUG
rnacentral:tRNA from 1 species